rnacentral:rRNA from 1 species
UACGUAGGGUGCGAGCGUUGUCCGGAAUUAUUGGGCGUAAAGGGCUCGUAGGCGGUUUGUCGCGUCGGGAGUGAAAUCCACUGGCUUAACUGGUGGCUUGCUUUCGAUACGGGCAGACUGGAGGUAUGCAGGGGAGAACGGAAUUCCUGGUGUAGCGGUGAAAUGCGCAGAUACCAGGAGGAACACCGGUGGCGAAGGCGGUUCUCUGGGCCUGUACUGACGCUGAGGAACGAAAGCGUGGGGAGCGAACAGG